UUAGGAUAUCCUAAAAUUGCAUGUUAGGUUAUUGAGCACCAUUUUUUAUGGGCUCUCUACUGGUGCGAAACAUUUCAGCAAUAAGGGCAAAUGGGGCAAACAAUGGCUGGCGUGAAGUGAUUUUGGUUUUACGAAAAAGAUUUCUUUGACAAUCUCGGUAGCAUCUCCAUGACCCAGUCGGCAUUUUCUUUCAUCUCAGUUUCUACCCUUGUCUCUGGCAGCUACAGGGCCAGCGCGUAUGUAGAUUUUUAAGCAGAGGACUGCUAUGAUCAAGACUAUUAUCUACUUUUGAAUUCUCUGACUAUGGUUAUUGAUGAUAUUGGAGAUGUUACAAUCACCAAUGACAGAGCAACCAUUUUGAAGAUGCUGGAGGUGGAGCAUCCAUCUGCAAACAUUGGGUUUUGGUGGAACUUGCAGAAUCAUAGGAUCAAGAAGUUAGGCAUGGCACAGCAUCAAUUAUUAGUAUUGCUGCGGAGUUGCUGAAGAAACGUACUGAUAAAUUCAAUGAAGGUGAUAAAGUUAGGUCGUGUGAUCCAUUUGAUAGUGUUGAUGUAGCAUUUACUCCCUAUCUAUUUUACAUGGAGUAAACUUAAAAGGAACAGGUGAUGCAAAUGUGAACAUUUUAAUGGUCACAAGUAACAUACCUAUUCCUUACGAAGGCAAAAUAGAUGGAGUCAUCCGCCUGAAAGAGAACGAGGGAGCCUUCGCAAGGUGGCCAUUAAAAUAUUUGCAGAAAAUGAUAUAGUUGAAUAUGUUUAUCAUGUUUCUUAUUGUUUUAUGCAGUAUUUUGAAUAUUUUGAAACAGUUAGAAACUUUUAGACAACUUUGACAUUUUUUAUUAUAAUUACAUAUAUACCCUUAGACAUAUUAUAACUUGAUUUAUAUAUAUAUAUAUUUGCAUUAUA